ACUCUGCCUCAACUGAGCUCGGAUUAAAAAAAACAAACAAACAAAGAGAAAAAAAGAGGAAAGCCUCGCCGCUCGCCGCUCGCCGCUCUCUGCUCUCGCCUCGUCUCCGAUCGAGCUCGGGUCAGAUCAGGUGCGCGCGUGCACUACACUGCCCGUGGCGAUUCGCCGCGACCCUGAUCCGCGGUGGUGCCCUCGCGCGCGGUGCAGGCUCGAAUCCAUGACGGGCUCCAUGGAUCUCCCGGCCAAGGGCGGCUUCAGCUUCGACCUGUGCCGGCGGAACGACAUGCUGGAGAAGAAGGGGCUCAAGCUCCCGGGCUUCAGGAAGACGGGGACAACCAUCGUCGGCCUCGUCUUUCAGGACGGGGUUGUUCUUGGGGCGGACACGAGGGCAACUGAGGGGCCUAUAGUUGCCGAUAAGAAUUGUGAGAAGAUCCACUUUAUGGCGCCAAACAUAUAUUGCUGUGGAGCAGGAACUGCUGCUGACACAGAGGCUGUUACAGAUAUGGUCAGCUCCCAGCUACAGCUUCACCGUUAUGCAUCGGGACGCGAAUCAAGAGUUGUGACUGCUCUUACGCUGCUCAAGUCACACCUCUUCAGGUAUCAAGGCCAUGUUAGCGCUGCCCUUGUUCUUGGUGGAGUGGAUUGUACCGGACCACAUCUGCACACUGUUUAUCCACACGGCUCCACUGAUACUCUUCCUUUUGCCACGAUGGGUUCUGGAUCUCUUGCUGCAAUGUCGGUGUUUGAAUCCAAGUACAAAGAAGGGCUUACUAGGGAGGAGGGAAUGCAACUUGUGUCUGAGGCAAUCUGUGCUGGUAUCUUCAAUGACUUGGGUAGUGGCAGCAACGUCGACGUCUGUGUGAUAACCAAGGGGAAGACAGAAUACUUGAGAAACCACCAGUUGCCGAAUCCCCGAACCUAUGUUAGUUCGAAGGGGUACAGCUUCACCAAGGGGCAGACUGAGGUACUGUCCACAAAGAUCACACAGCUGAAGCAGAAGGUUGAGGUCGCUGAGGGUGGUGACGCAAUGGAGGAGUGAUGCCGUAUGCUUACAUUUGGAAUAUAAGUGAUUGCUGUUUCAGAAUCGUUGAAUUGUUUAACGAAAACUGUAAUGGUAUUGCUUGGGAAAUGGGGUUGCCAAACUAAGCCUUAGACACGGAAAAAACCUCCUCUCUUCUUAAUUAUUAUUUUAGAUAUGGAUAUAGUACUGUGACUGGCUUAUAUGCAUGUAAAUAUAUGUAUUGGGGAGCAGUA